GCGAUGGUAGCUCAGAUGGCAAGGGCAUCUAGUUUCUGACUAGAAUAUCCCGGGUUCAAUCCCAGGUAGGGGCA
rnacentral:tRNA from 1 species